rnacentral:lncRNA from 10 species
GCAGGUUGCAGCUGCUGCUUCCCUACCUUCCUCUGCAGACCCACUGGAAAUCUCCAUGUCCUCCUGUCACCUCUUCUCUUGCUACACCAUAGGCCAUGAAACUUUCAAAAUGUUAAAGUUGUACUGUGUUCCAGUAUGAGGAAUACACUGCAGGAAAGUGCUUUUGGAAAGAAGACCUCUGAAAAUCUUUUUCUUAAUAUGGAACUGGGGAAACUACCCCAAGAUUUGCAACAAUCUGAAGCAUUUUACUCAAGAAAAUGGCUGACUCUUGAAAACCUGACUGUGAUAUAAUGAAAAUGGCUACAUCGCAAGAUAAAAGCAACCUAGAUUCCUGAAUUACUGCUUGGGAAAGAACCUUUAAAUCAGGAAUGCCCACGUUGGACUUUAUGUGAAUGAGCAAUAAAUUACAUCUUGCUAAGCUAUUCAGAUUUGCUUUAACCCUGAUUUUGUUGUUGUUUUGUUUUGUUAAAGGAAUUUGCUCACUCUAAUACGUAUGUAUAAUCCUUAAAAUAACCCAGCUCAGGUACAAUUAUAUUUUAUGGAUAAACUUGACUCACAAAAAUAAAUAUUUGCACAAGUUAGUAAGUGGCAGGGGCUACACUCAACUGAGGAUUGAAUAAAUAUGUAGGCCAUGCGCUUAAAAAAUAGACAUUUAAAUAAGAAUUUCUUUACCUCAUAGCAGAAUUUAUUAUUCAAAGACAUUCCAGAUAUAAAAGAAACAUAGACAUAAAAGAAGGCUGUAUAUUUGGGAGCUGAUUAGAUUGUAAUCUUUCUCACAGCCUCCCCUCAUUCUUGUUAUGCAUCAAUGUAAAUAGAGAAUAUUCCCUGAGCCACUGACUUUGGGUUUGGCCAUGUAACUUGCCUUGGCAGAAGCAUGAGUAGGCAAGUGAUGGUGGGCCUGUUAGUAGAAAGAGCUUUAAAAGACAUCAUAUGUUUUUACAUUUCUUCUUGAGUUUUAUGCCUGUACAUGAGAAAAAUCACAGAUAGUGGUUGUUCUGUGACUAAGAUCAGAGAAUAAAAAGAUACAUUGAGAAGACUUAAAUCUGGUCCAGCCAAGCCCAAGUGAACUUGUCUAAAACCAGCUGAAACCAGCUACAUUCAGCUGAGCCAUAAAUAACCCACACUUACUGGUAUGAAUAAGAAAUUAGUGUUUCAUGUUGCAAAACACUGAGAUUCUCAGUCAUUUACUUGGUGAUAUAUUUGGUAUAUAUGGAACCGAGGUACAUUUUGUAGUGUAGAAGUCUGACAAGAAGAUAUGACUAAAGUGGUAAGUUGAGGCUAGGUUGUGGUUGGCCUUACAUGCCAUACCAAGCAGUUUAAAUUAUCUAUUGCAAUAAUUAGAGAGAUAUUGGAAUGUCAUGAGUGAGUGCUCCAUUUUGAUCUACUUAUAUAGUUUAUCCUCUGAUGAUAGUAAAAUUAAAAAUAGAAAGCUUUUUGAAGGAGUCAGUUUUGGCAUCAGAAAGGUAGUAAGCCAGCCAUGAUGCCAACAAGUUUGAUGUCAGAUGUGUCAGACUGUGUACAUCAUCCCAGAUUGGCGUGCUUAUCUUGAUUUCUGACCACAAUAGCCCUUGUACUAGCUUGUCUUAUUAUUGCUUUCAUGGGCCUAGCUUGCUACUGCUAAAGCCCUGGGUUGCUAUAGCACAAGAAACACCAUGAGGAGUGUUAACUGGUCAAGGGAGACUGCUUUUUCUGAUCACUAGCCAGACAGUAUUCACAGUUGCUCUGGUCUUUCAUUUAGCUGCCUAGGGAUGCAAGGCAAGCUGAAAGUUCAGGAAAAUAAAUGGCCCAUAAGACAUGUGGAUGAAAGAGCAAUGGGAGUGAGAGAUGAGAGAAGGGAGGCAGAAAAAAUAUUUCUCCUUGUUCUGAGAUGUAGCAGAACAUAUUGUCUCUCGGAAGACAUACCAUGAGACACUGCAAUAGUAUGCUGUGGCCAGGCAAGAAAAUACUUAUUCCUAUUUGUUAUAUCUCCUACUAGAUUAUUUCUAAACAAAUUUUCCUGUGGGUACAGACUUUUAUUCUUUUUUUUUGUCCCUAAGGAGUCCAGACAUAUACAGUGAGCUAACAAAAACAGCAUUGAUAUCUGACCUUCAAGUCAGAGAACAGUGCUUACUAAUAGAAGUAUUAUCUUGAUAUAAAGAGACCUGAGUUUGAGUCCAAGCUCAUGCAAUUAUUAUUUCACUGAUCUUGGGUAAUGCUCUUAAACUGUCUAUGUCGAAACCUCCCUUUCUGUUCAGAGGAUUGAUCCUUGCUCACAGUUGUUUGUACAACGAGUUUUAAUCUGUUCAGAAUUAUUCUUAAACAGCACUGCCUAAUCCUAAAAGUGUCAAAAUCCUCCUUGCAAGGUGAUAUUGGUACAGCAGAGAAAGGUUGACAAAUGACAAAAUGAACAUAUGAUUUCGAAGUAUUAGUAUAUAAAUUCCAGACAUCUGCUUGGAGAAAAAUCAAUUAGUGCUCAUUAAGCAUUUAAAGUAUUACAGGUCUUUCACAAAGUCCCUGACAUACACUAACAUAUCUAAAAUAGAAUAACCUUUCAAGGGAGGAGACACGGAAACUGAGGAACAGGGAUGCUUAGCACAUAUCUACAGGUUAUCAACUAGAUAGGAUUAGAUCCAGGACUCAAAUCCAACUUGUUGUUUGUAAUCAUUAGGAUAAGCUGCCAGAAAUAUUGAGAAAAGUUUGAGGUCUUUAAAUAGUGACAAAACUUAGCUGAAGUGGCUAUAUAGAAAAGGCUGUCUUCACACUGUAUGUUUGAAGUAUUAUUGAUCAUUGUUUAAAACUUCAUUUUAUUACAUAUAUCAGUGUCACCAGUAAUUGCAUCUUUAUUUUUGGAUAAAACUGUUUAGGAGAAGACAAGAAUUUCCUUCUGACAGAUCCCUGUAAAAAAAAAUUCUUACAAACAGAGAAAGUAAAAGUUAUAAUAUAUUUUAUUUGUUGAUAUUUAUUGCUGGAAUGAUAUAUUCACUGAAGACCAUGGACAUUUUUUAUCAGUGCUUAGUUAAAUGUAAUUUGUAUCUAUAUGCUUAUAAUUUUAAAAUGUUAUUGAAUCUUACUAAUAAUUAUAUAGGAAACAGUUCCUCAUUUUUAAACUCUUAACUACCGUGGCUAUAUUUUAAAAUGAGUUCUAAAGUUUAAUUUCAUAUAAUACAAUUCACCAAUUAUAAAUAUAUAAUUUGAGGAUUUUUGGAAAAUAUACAGAGUUGUGUAUAACACGAUAUAUAUUUCCAUUACCCACAAAUUUUCCUUUGCAGUAAAGGGGAAGAGAAACCACACACUGGGAAAAAAGGGCAUAAUAGACUUGUAUACAAAACAUAGAAAAGAUGGAAGCAUUUUAAUAAUAAGAGCAAGCAACCCAACUAAAAAUAACCAAAAGAAUAGAAAAAGAGUUGAACAUACACUUCCCCAAUAUAUAUGUUAUCCUUUUUCUAAGAGAAGAGGAAUCUGGGGCUUAGAGAGAAUUAGUGACUAGUUCAGGUUUAUGUUUGGUAAGCAGUACAGUUUAAACUCCAACUGAUGACAGUUUAAGAGCCAAAUCUGAGUUCUUUACGUGAGAAAGAGGUAAGGAGGAGAGAAAGGGAGGUAAGGAGAGAGGGAAAAUAAGCUAGUAACAAUGGUCAUAAUUUGAGAGAUUUGUCUUACCGCAAGCCUGACAGUUGAUCCCACACUGUGUUGUCCCAAAAAAUGACUCACUAAAUCAGUAAUGGCAGCAUUUAACUACAUUUUUAUAUCACUAGUGCUUCUUAUAGAAACCAGAGAGAAAGUUUCUAUUUCAAUUUUUACCAAGUCAAAAGGAGUAUCAUCUUUUCAUUUUGAUUUGUAUAGGGAUUUAAAAGGUAAUAUCACAUAAUAUGGAGGAAAUAUUUCUGACGGUUAUGACUCAGGUUGAGAAAUUGGAAGAAUAGAUAACAAGCAAACAAAAUAAAAUUAUGUUAAUGUUCAGCUAGCCUUCCUUCUUUCCUAAGAUUAUCAGGUAGAAAAUUUAAAAAAAAAUUUAAAAACAAAAAUAUAAAAAACUUGUAUUGUGAUUUAUGAGAUGUAUGCUAAUAAGUAAAGAGGAGAUGAAGCUAUUAAUGUGUUUGUGAGAUGUGUGAUACAGCGUUUUUUUUGGCGGGGGGAAGGUACUGGUGUUUAUUUUUGUUGAAAGGUGUUAAAGGAACAUCAGUAAAUCCUAAAACAGCUGCAAAACAUCUUACAUGUCAUAGCAAUUCGUCAUCUGUGUGUAUGUGAACAGAAAGGUCCUGUGACUGCAACAACAGGAAGAAGGUAGAUCUGUGGUCUUAUCUGACCUCUUAAUUAGUUGCUGUUUUAAUUUGAGAAGUCUGAGCUGUGAAUCUCUCAGACUUAGUGAAUCAAAUUCUUUAAAGAGAAAAGCCCUGAGAUAAAACUGUCAGUUAAGAACAAAGCGCCAAUAGCUUCAAAUCACCAUAACUGUUUACAGCAUAGUUACUGC